rnacentral:rRNA from 1 species
GAUCAUGGCUCAGGACGAACGCUGGCGGCGUGCUUAACACAUGCAAGUCGAACGAAAAGAGGGAAAGAGCUUGCUCUUUCCGGAAUUGAGUGGCAAACGGGUGAGUAACACGUAAACAACCUGCCUUCAGGAUGGGGACGAACAGACGGAGACGACUGCUAAUACCGAAUAAGUUCCAAGAGCCGCAUGGCCCAUGGAAGAAAAGGUGGCCUCUACCUGUAAGCUAUCGCCUGAAAGAGGGGGUUUUGCGU